GACGAACGCUGGCGGCGUGCUUAACACAUGCAAGUCGAACGGUAAGGCCCCUUCGGGGGUACACGAGUGGCGAACGGGUGAGUAACACGUGAGCAACCUGCCCUUGACUCUGGAAUAACAGUUGGAAACAGCUGCUAAUACUGGAUAUUCAUCGUCUCCUUCCUGGGGGGUGGUGGAAAGCUCCGGCGGCCAGGGAUGGGCUCGCGGCCUAUCAGCUUGUUGGUGAGGUAAUGGCUCACCAAGGCUUCGACGGGUAGCCGGCCUGAGAGGGCGACCGGCCACACUGGGACUGAGAUACGGCCCAGACUCCUACGGGAGGCAGCAGUGGGGAAUAUUGCACAGUGGGCGCAAGCCUGAUGCAGCAACGCCGCGUGCGGGAUGACGGCCUUCGGGUUGUAAACCGCUUUCAGUAGGGACGAAGGGUGACUGACGGUACCUACAGAAGAAGGACCGGCUAACUACGUG
rnacentral:rRNA from 1 species